rnacentral:tRNA from 1 species
GACUCUGUAGCUCAGUUGGUUAGAGCGCUGCACCGGAAUCGCAGGGCCGUAGGUUCAAUUCCUACCAGAGGAG